AGGAAUAUUGGUCAAUGGCCGGAAGGCUGAACCAGCCAAGCCGCGUGAGGGAGGAAGGCGCAGAGCGUCGCAGACCUCUUUUGCCGGGGGACAAAAGGCCGGACGUGUCCGGUCCUGAGGGUACCCGGAGAAAAAGCAUCGGCUAACUCCGUGCCAGCAGCCGCGGUAAUACGGAGGAUGCGAGCGUUAUCCGGAUUCAUUGGGUUUAAAGGGUGCGUAGGCGGGAUGCCAAGUCAGCGGUCAAAUACGGGGGCUCAACCUGCGUCCGCCGUUGAAACUGGCGUUCUUGAGUGGGCGAGAAGUACGCGGAAUGCGUGGUGUAGCGGUGAAAUGCAUAGAUAUCACGCAGAACCCCGAUUGCGAAGGCAGCGUACCGGCGCCCUACUGACGCUGAAGCACGAAAGCGUGGGUAUCGAACAG
rnacentral:rRNA from 1 species